CUACGGGCUGCUCCAGUGGGGAAUUUUGGACAAUGGGCGCAAGCCUGAUCCAGCCAUUCCGCGUGCAGGACGAAGGCCUUCGGGUUGUAAACUGCUUUUGUACGGAACGAAAAGGUCCUGGUUAAUACCUGGGGCUCAUGACGGUACCGUAAGAAUAAGCACCGGCUAACUACGUGCCAGCAGCCGCGGUAAUACGUAGGGUGCAAGCGUUAAUCGGAAGUACUGGGCGUAAAGCGUGCGCAGGCGGUUAUGUAAGACAGAUGUGAAAUCCCCGGGCUCAACCUGGGAACUGCAUUUGUGACUGCAUAGCUAGAGUACGGUAGAGGGGGAUGGAAUUCCGCGUGUAGCAGUGAAAUGCGUAGAUAUGCGGAGGAACACCGAUGGCGAAGGCAAUCCCCUGGACCUGUACUGACGCUCAUGCACGAAAGCGUGGGGAGCAAACAGGAUUAGAUACCCCUGUAGUC
rnacentral:rRNA from 1 species